ensembl:snRNA U6 U6 spliceosomal RNA
CUCACUUCAGGAGGGCAUAUAUAAAAUUGGAAUAAUACAGAGAAGAUUAGCAUGUCCCCUGUGCAAGGAUGAUACACAAAUUCAACAAGUGUCUCAUAUUUUU